rnacentral:rRNA from 1 species
GAUGAACGCUGGCGGCGUGCCUAAUACAUGCAAGUCGAGCGAACAGACGAGGAGCUUGCUCCUCUGACGUUAGCGGCGGACGGGUGAGUAACACGUGGAUAACCUACCUAUAAGACUGGGAUAACUUCGGGAAACCGGAGCUAAUACCGGAUAAUAUAUGCAACCGCAGGGUUCAAUAGUGAAAGACGGUUUUGCUGUCACUUAUAGAUGGAUCCGCGCCGCAUUGGCUAGUUGGUAAGGUAACGGCUUACCAAGGCGACUAUGCGUAGCCGACCGGAGAGGGUGAUCGCCCACACUAGAGCUGAGACACGGUCCAGACUCCUACGGGAGGCAGCAGUAGGCAAUCGUCCGCAAUGGGCGAAAGCCUGACGGAGCAACGCCGCGUGAGUGAUGAAGGUCUUCGGAUCGUAAAACUCUGUUAUUAGGGAAGAACAAAUGUGUAAGUAACUAUGCACGUCUUGACGGUACCUAAUCAGAAAGCCACGGCUAACUACGUG